rnacentral:rRNA from 2 species
GCCGUGGGUGUAGGAAUAUUGACAGGAUCUGUCCCUAGUACGAGAGGACCGGGAUGGACGUAUCUCUGGUGGACCUGUUGUCGUGCCAACGGCAUAGCAGGGUAGCUAUAUACGGACGGGAUAACCGCUGAAGGCAUCUAAGCGGGAAACCCACCUGAAAACGAGUAUUCCCUAUCAGAGCCGUGGAAGACCACCACGUUGAUAGGCCGGGUGUGGAAGUGCGGCAACGCAUGCAGCUUACCGGUACUAAUAGCUCGAUCGACUUGAUCACUCCCAUUU